GCAGGGAGACAUGUGCAAGUUGGGAUGCGAAACGACUCCUUGGUGAUCGAUCGCGAGAGCGAUCGAUUCCGACCGCGCUCGUCGUUCCCCCUAUUCCCUUUCUAUUUUCUAGCCUUUUUCCUUUUCUGGAAAGCCCAGCCGUCCGCCUUUUCCCUUUCCCCUUUACAUCCCCUCCUCCACUGCAGCUGCCCUGCUGCCCCCUCCUCGGCGAGGCGCCUCACGAGCGCCGCGAGGUCAGCACGGGAGGCGCGCCCGCACGAGCUCCGCGAGGGAGGUGGCCAGUACGGCGAGGCGCCGUGCCCGCAUGAGCGCCGUGAGGUCAAAGUGCAGCGGCGGCCAAUACGGGGAGGCGCAGCGACCGCUCGGGCUCCGCGAGGUCCAGGGGCGGAAGCAGCCAAUACGGCGAGCGGUGCCUGUCCGGCGACCAUACAGCCUCCGCGGCGUGCUCGACCUUGCUCCUACGCCUCCUACCCGGGCUGGACAUCCCCCCGUGCGUUGUCCCCACCCGCAUCACCAAGCUCCCCAACGGCGUCCGCGAUCCCCGUCGCCUCCGAGGACUUCCAGGGAGCAGCACAGGGAUGGCGAUUUUGGUAGCUCUGCUCUGAUGAUGCCGUCAGAGCACAACUUGCUCGUUUUCAGCAUGAGGAAGAAGAUGAUUUGACAGGGAGCAACACAGCUUGCUUGUUUUGUUUCUCUGUAGCAAGUUAUUCUAUAAAUACUGAACACUAUGCAAGGAAAUCAGCAGCUGCCAUUGUUCAAGAAUAUUAACACCGAGGCUCCCUGCCGUUCACAGCGUCUUGCCAAGUACAAUACUACAACCAGGCAAGUAGCUCUUCUCGUAUGUGGUGCUGAAGCAAUGCCGGCUCCUUUUUUCGCCAAAACCUUCUUGCAAAUGAUUUAAUAAAUUAUUUAAUCCCAUGGUUCAUUAUUCCGUUUAGUGUAUGCUUACUUUUGGCACUACUAGUUCUGAUGUUGCUGGUGUCCUAGAUUUUUUGGUUGCAGUGAUGAGUUAUGUGCUCCAGCAAAUCGUUGCCGUAAUUCUGAAUUGUAGUAGUUCCUUCUGUUGUCGUUUUACAUGAUGUGUAUCAUCACUAUCAGUUAAGAAAUGAAUAUGUGAAAGCAGUACUUUUCAUAUCCAAACUCCAAAUACUAUGUCAUUUCAGUUUGUUGAUAAUUUAGAGGUUCCAAUCCAAGUUGAAAAUACCGAACUGAGCUAUGCAAGGUUGAUUCAAUCCAAGUUGGAGUUGCUUUAUUAUUGAUUAAGUGACGGCAAUACCGUUGAAUACAAGUAUUCCAUGCUUAUACUCUGCAUUUUGACCUCUGUUUUAUGCCUAUAUGAUUUAGUACAGUAAUAGUUUUCCCUGGAUGCAUCCGAGGUGGUUGAGCUUAACUAGGAACAUUCAGUCUUGUUUAUCAAACCGAACUGGUCCUUGGAAUCAAUCAAGUGUUUCUGCAAAAUCAAAGUAGUAUUGAAGUGAGUGAAAUUAAGUGGAGUACAUGGCUGUUAUCUCUUCUUCAGUAUCUCCAUGUAACAAUCUUGUAAUUGGAGUACAUGGCUAGAGAGCUUGUUCAGAAGCUGAAUACUUUGUGCUGAUCCUGCUGGAUUUGCUGCAUCAUUUGCCCCCAAAUGUCACAAAUGUGUCGCCAACUUUGGAAAGAAAAAUAAUUGUUAAGAAAAUCAGCAGCUUUCAUUGAAUGAGCUAAUUAUUAAGAGAAUGCUGCAUCAUUUUGUAGCAAGUUAUUUCUAUAAAUACUGAACACUGCAAGGAAAUCAGCAGCUUUCAUUGUUAAGAGAAUGAGCUAAUUCUCUGAAAAUCUUUUUGUUUUUCUGUAGCAAAUUAUUGUAUGAAUUAUGAACAUUUGUGCAAAGAAACUAAGCUCUGAACAUUAUUCAAACAACAGAGAUAUAGCACAAUCUGUAUAUACAUGAGCAUUAAGCUAGAAGAAUUCCUAAUUUACUGUGUUCCUUUUGUUUUUGGUUUUUUCUCUUCCAUGCUGUAGCACAGAGUCCAUAAGUUUCAUUGUUGUUGAUUUUUGGGCAGUUACAUAUUUAACUGCAACCUGUUUUCUUGUUCACGUUGAUUUUCAAAGAUCAAACUAUUUGUCAGAUAAAGACAACUCAUUUUUAGCAGUUCAUAAUAUUGUCGCUGUUUAGGGUCUAGUGUUUUCUUCCUUGCUUUUGCAUCACGACGCUUCACCCAUGUUUUGACUAUUUAAGUUGGUGUACAACUGUACAUGGUAUGUAAAU